UACGAGGGGGGGCGAGCGUUGUUCGGAAUUACUGGGCGUAAAGCGCACGUAGGCGGCUUUGUAAGUUAGAGGUGAAAGCCCAGGGCUUAACCCUGGAAUUGCCUUUAAGACUGCAUCGCUUGAAUUGUGGAGAGGUGAGUGGAAUUCCGAGUGUAGAGGUGAAAUUCGUAGAUAUUCGGAAGAAACACCAGUGGCGAAGGCGACUCACUGGACACAUAUUGACGCUGAGGUGCGAAAGCGUGGGGAGCAAACAGG
rnacentral:rRNA from 1 species